rnacentral:rRNA from 1 species
UACGUAGGGUGCGAGCGUUGUCCGGAAUUACUGGGCGUAAAGAGCUCGUAGGUGGUUUGUCGCGUUGUCCGUGAAAACUCACAACUCAAUUGUGGGCGUGCGGGCGAUACGGGCAGACUGGAGUACUGCAGGGGAGACUGGAAUUCCUGGUGUAGCGGUGGAAUGCGCAGAUAUCAGGAGGAACACCGGUGGCGAAGGCGGGUCUCUGGGCAGUAACUGACGCUGAGGAGCGAAAGCGUGGGGAGC